GACGAAGGAUGCAAGCGUUAUCCGGAAUGAUUGGGCGUAAAGCGUCCGCAGGUGGCAGUUCAAGUCUGCUGUCAAAGACCGGGGCUUAACUUCGGAAAGGCAGUGGAAACUGAACAGCUAGAGUAUGGUAGGGGCAGAGGGAAUUCCUGGUGUAGCGGUGAAAUGCGUAGAUAUCAGGAAGAACAUCGGUGGCGAAGGCGCUCUGCUGGACCAUAACUGGCACUCAGGGACGAAAGCUAGGGGAGCGAAUGGG
rnacentral:rRNA from 1 species